CCGGCCCAAGGGCCGACCCCCGCAAGGAGCUGAAGGCGGCGGGAGACCGAGUCGCCGCCAGCGUCGGCGCCGUCAAAGAAGAUGGCCACGGAGACAGCAGCGUGGUCAGAGUGGUAGGAGCCGGCCAUCAGCGAGAGCUGCUCCAUGCCUGGCUGCUGGGUGCUACAGCCUGUGGCCCACUGGCUUGCCUCACUGUGGUUGGUGGUGGCAGUGACAGAGACUGCAGCACGACCAAAGUGGCUUUUCUGGCUUUGCCCGCCCAGCUGCUCCAUGCCAGGAGGAGGAGGAGACACCUAGAGCCUGCGACACCACGGCUCGCCUCGCUGCGGGAGGGUGGCAUCAACGGAGACUGCAGUGCACCAGAGUGUCAGUUCUAGAGUGUAUGAAGAACCAAAUGAUGUAAUUGUAUGCGAUCUGGCUGUAGUGGAACAAAUUUGACUCUAAAGUAUGCAGGCUCUAAUUUUCCUGUCCGGUUUUGGUAAGUAUUCCUUACAUAGGUUUUUUUCUUUGAAAAUCUGGGAUUGAGAGGUUGAUGAAUGAAAAUUAAUCCUUUCACUUUGUUGUAUGUAGGUUUGCAAUAAUUAGGUCAGAGUGGAGUUUUAAGGUCAUGGAGGGGUCUGAUGACUUACAAAUAAUGGGCUCUGAUUGGGCACCUACUCAUCUGAGUUCCUUCCAUUUGACCUAAUUAAGCUUGUGAAAUUUACACCAAGCCAUGAGCUCAUCUUUAAAAAGUUUUAUUAAAAGAUUUUCAGCUGUUCCAAAUGGGACUUAUUAGUGGAAUGUGUUUUAAAGGAUCAUAUCAGAUGAAUGAAAGGUAUUUGAUCUGUUUCCUUAAUAACAAAAUGAUGGUUUGGAAAAAUAGGCUACAGUCUAACCACAGUGCUAUUAUUAGGCUUUCUUGUUAAACAUAGGUCUAAGCCUAAGUAUGUCAAUAGAACAAAUACUUACUGUUUCAUUUCUAGUAAUAAAAAAAAAAAACAAGUCUUUCUGGCAUAAGGAUGAUUUUCAUCUGGUUAUUUUGAAACAUUUUUGUAAAAUAAAUUUACAUCUAUAAAGAACAUUUUUAUUUGUAAGGAGGGGUAUGUCUCUGUGCACUGGAAGAGAGGGAGGACUAAAUCACUGGGAAGUCUUAUAAUAAAGAAGCCAUUGGCUUAAAUCAGCAAAGCAAGCCAUCCCUUGGUUUAAGGUGUUUUUCCUGGCCAUCCUGUCUUGACUAGAACUUUACCUACACCUUCCUUUUUGGUUUAGGCAAAUUAUAGUAUCUAAAACUGAAGUCUCAGCUCUGUGUCUUUGAGAUAUAAAUGUUCUACCAUGUCUUCUCUGGAACCUGAUAACUAUCUAUCUCUUUAAAAUGCAAGUCUAGGGAGAUGAUUCAUCAGAAAAAGAAGAAAAAAGAGGUAUUUGGAAAUUGUGCAAAUUAAAGCAGCCCCUGAUGCCAAAGUCUACACAUUCCUGAGUGAGUCAGUUCUGGCCAGUUCUAGCUGGAUCAAGAGAGCUCUGCUGGGCAGGCCUGAAGAACACGUGGAUGGCAGACACCUGAGGAGUCAGGUGCCUGAAACUUCCUCCACCUGCUUGAGGAGCGCCAAAGCCCAGGUGCUGGCUGGACAACCCCUUCUGGCUGCCUAAGCAGGUAGCAGAAGAAGGAAACAAGGGCAGAGGCAGAGUGUUGAACCCUGCCUCCCAGCCCCCACAUCACCCAACCAACCAGCAGAGAUCCUCCUUCCCAAGAAACAGAUAAAGAAACUGAGGCCCAGGAAGGCUAAGAGUCCUGCCAGGAUUAUUCACCUUUCAAGCAGCCAAGCAAGCACUGGCUGUGAGAGAUGGCUGUGAGAGAAGAUUAAAACAAUUACAACUCACCCAGUUCACAGACGCUGAGUAACUGAUCUCCUGCCCCACUAACCUUAACGACAGCUUUCUCUGGACAAGGGACUGAUUUCAGUAACUUUCUCCUGAUAAGAGACCAUCCUCCAUGGACUGGUUCUGGCCAGUUUUAGAGGCUGUGGCUUUACAGAGGCUGAGUACUUUCAUGUCCCUGCUUCACUUUUUGAUGUGUAGGGCCUAAUUAUAAUACAUUUAAAUGUCAAGUCUCCACCCCAGGAUGAACAUGCAUGUUUAUUGAAUAUGCAUGUGUUAGGACCUCUUUUAUGAGUAUUCUCAUAAAAUGAUAUAGCUCCUCUGAUAUCUUAUUGCGUAUGUAUAUGUAGCCAACUCAUUUGGCUCAAAUUCCUGUCCUCUCCUUCCCUCCCUGGAAAUGCCUGCCUCUGGCCUUGGCUGUAGGCCACACUUCCCAGCCUGUCAUAAUGGCCACCUUGCAGACUG